GCCCCGUGGUUGCUGGGUGCUGCUGUGCAGGUGCAGCUGCCCAGUGGAUGGCAGUGGGCCAGAGCAAGCCUGUGGUUCAUGCAUGGGGGCUGCUCCCCCUCAGCAGCCGCCAUAGCCCGGCCACUGGCACACGU